GCCUACGGGGGGCAGCAGUGGGGAAUAUUGCACAAUGGGGGAAACCCUGAUGCAGCAACGCCGCGUGAAGGAAGACGGUUUUCGGAUUGUAAACUUCUGUUCUUAGUGAAGAAUGAUGACGGUACUCUAAGAAUAAGCACCGGCUAACUACGUGCCAGCAGCCGCGGUAAUACGUAGGGUGCGAGCGUUAAUCGGAAUUACUGGGCGUAAAGGGUGUGCAGGCGGUUUUGCAAGAUGGAUGUGAAAGCCCCGGGCUUAACCUGGGAAA
rnacentral:rRNA from 1 species